rnacentral:rRNA from 1 species
CGUCUCUAAGCCAUGGUAGAGACGCGGCGUACGGCUCAGUAACAUGUGGCUAACCUACCCUUAGGACGGAGACACCCCGGGAAACUGGGGCUAAUACCCGGUAGAUUAGGAGGCCUGGAAUGGUUUCUAGUCGAAAAGGCGUUGAAACCAUGCUUUUCGACGUCGCCUAAGGAUGGGGCCGCACCUGAUCAGGUUGUUGGUGGGGUAACGGCUCACCAAGCCUAUAACCGGUACGGGCCGUGAGAGCGGGAGCCCGGAGAUGGGCACUGAGACAAGGGCCCAGGCCCUACGGGGCGCAGCAGUCGCGAAAACUCCGCAAUGCGCGAAAGCGUGACGGGGCUACCCCGAGUGCCGUCCGCUGAGGAUGGCUUUUCCCCGGUGUAAUGAGCCGAGGGAAUAAGGAGAGGGCAAGACUGGUGUCAGCCGCCGUGGUAAUACCAGCUCUCCGAGUGGUAGGGAUGAUUAUUGGGCUUAAAGCGUCCGU